UCUUCAGAGGCUCAUUUUAAGGAUAAGGUUGAAGACCUCAUCCUGCUGUUGAAUUGGGUUGAUGGGUACCCCUACGUGGACCAACUGGAAAGUGGAGCAGUCUGUCGGCACAGCGCAAGUCUCGGACCCUGAGAGCUCGGUUCCCAGUACUUCGUGAUCAUUUACUGGCGACACAGAUCAUUUACCGGGCACCUUAGGUAGGGUGACAAUACGUUGCUCCAGCUCAUCCAGGGCUUAAAAUAGAAUUAGAAGUCAAGUAGCUGAAUUCUGCAGCAGUAGGCGUCUAGCACAGCACCUGGCCCUGUGGAUUAAGAGCACACAUUUGAAGACACGCAACCUCUUUCGACCGCCUGCAGGCUGUGGAACCUCAGGGUCAUCGGUGAGCCUCCGGGUCCUCAUCUGCAAAAUGAGCAUACAGGGGGCUGUUGUGAAGAUAAUGGGGUAACCCAGGAACAACGCACUGAGUGUGGUGCACACGGAGAAACACGCAUGUGCAGAGCUAAAAUCUGACCCAGGAAUUGGCAGCACAGACCUGAAAAGUGAGGGUUGAGAGAUGGGCUGAAUCCAUGGGAACAUUUGUCUGGAGACCGUUGGGGUGUCACACCUGGAAGAGCGAGGCUGCUAGUGACAUCUAGUGGGCAGAGACCAAGAUGCCGCUCACCUCCUGCAGGGCUCCGACGGCCCCACCCCCCAGCACACAGACAAAGACUGAUGCAGCCCCAAACGCAUUAGUGCUGAGUUUACAGAACCUUACCUGGGAGUUCCGAGACUUCUCGGCAUCCCAGUCCCUCAGGCAGACGUUUUCCAUUUGUCGUGGAUAUUUCUACCAUCCUAUGUAGUACAUAGUACAGAACCCCAGGCCAGCUCUGACCAGCCUGGGCAUCUUGGGGGUCUACCUGCUGGAUAUCUCUCAGUGGAGCCAAAAGACUACAUCAGCCUCCUUAGCAAUCCUUUGCUCAUACAGUUGGUACAUUUUUGAACAAAGCACUUAUCAACUCAACCAUGCAUACAAUUAAAUUCAAGACACAUACUACCUAGAAAAGCUAGUAUUAUAUUUUCACACACACACACACACACACACACACACAGAUAUUGGGUAAAAUGAACAUUCCUAUCAGAUGGAUUCAGUUUUAAAUAAUUACUAUUCUAUAACUAUGUUUUUCUUAACCAUUCCCGUCCACAAAGAAAUGGCGAAGCCCGGCUGGAGCUCUCUAGAGCAGACGGAACAAAGAGGAAAAAAAAGGAUGCUUGUCAAGUAAAAUAUGAAAGGCGUGCUCCAAGCUCCCCUAAUUACAUCUUGGAAGGGAAGCUUUGUCCUAUUGACAUUCAGGAUCAUUUUUCAUUAGCUCAGGUUACCCCCUUGAAGAUUUUUAGGAAGUUUCAUGAUAUGGAGACGUUGUUGAAAAAUUGGCUGCUUGACGUCUGCUAAGCAAUGAGAUUCAGAGAUCAAAUCCAUUCCUGCCCACUUCGCUUUGAGCAGCGCCAGUUAUCUUGGGCAAAAUGAGUUGGCAACUUUAACUUGGACUUUUAAGAAGGCAGAUGGUUUACCCUGCUCUUUUGUGUGUGGUUUUUUUACAAAGGAUCUCUGAGGAAUCUUGGCUGAAGGUGUGGAUCAACUCUUAUAUCUGACAUAUUCUGUGUUCAUAAACAUCAGAGUAUUUAGGGGACAACAGAUACAGUUUUCAUCUUCAUAAACUAGAGGCGGAGGAAAUAAAAUCGCUUUCACCAGACCCUUAGGUCUUUCCUUUAGAAUAUAAAAAUUCUAAAGUAAAUUGUGGGUUCUUCUUGCCCUGCCCUGAAUUUCAAGUGUUUGACUGCUUAAACUAUCA